GACUUCACCCCUGAGGAGGAAGAGGAGAUCCGCAGGGAGAACCAGUGGGCUUUUGAGUAGAAGGCAUCAAGGCCUCUGAUGUCUUGGUGCUUAGAUCCUUACUCCGUAUCUACGUAUGCUCUGCUUUUAUAUGUCGUGCUGGUUGUAAGUAUUUUGGAGUCCGAUGGGGGUUCAUGUGCACGUUUAGUUGGUUAAAUGGUUAAGUUCUAUCCAGGAAAAAAAGAACUGAUGUGGUCAGAACUACUGAACCUGUU
rnacentral:misc_RNA from 1 species